UCUCACGUUGCAUUUGGUAGGGUUAUGUUUUCGUGUGCAGUUAACAAUUGUAAUUGAAACUGGACGUGUUUUACAUGAUAUUAAGUACUGAAAGUGCAGAAAAUCUAUAUUUAUAUCUAUCUAUAUCGAUGGACUUGUGUGACGACAAUAAUUUCCUGUUCCUGAAAUGUCUGUAGUUGUGUGCAGUGAUUAUAACCUGGUGUGUGCGUGUGUGUGAGGGAGAAGCUGACACGGCGUUUACAUAUCAUAAGCCUGCUGUGGUGACAUUGAAGUAGAACGCGAAAGAAUUAUGGUUUCACGGGUCGCGCUGUCUGGACAUCUGUGUUCCAGACUGAGAUGAAUUCUGCUUACCUCAAACUGGAACCAUGGAAUUUGAUACCUCUCCAAGCA